CGCGAACUAGUGUAGAGGUUGCACGUGAGAUUCACCAACCGCGUGGUUCUCGAGGGAUGGUUCGACUCCACCGUUUGCAA